ensembl:lncRNA
CCAGAUGAUGGACAGUAAAGAGAUGGCAGCAAAUGAAGUUCAAUUCAACAACAAAGUGUGGAAACACCCAAAGCUCUCACUGUUCAACCAGAAACUAAACCACUGCAGUAUCAACACAUCUGCCUGCAGACGGAAACGUUCUCUGAAAACCUUUACAGAACGUUAACGAGCGUAGCAUCCAACAGCUUCCACCAAGACGUCAACUCUAACUGCAACAAAACAACAAGAUGCAGGAGUUAGUGGGCCGGCUGUAGCAGCACUGUGGAGAUAAAACCAUGGAACAAACCGCUCUCACCUCGUAGCAUCAAACAACAAACCAAGGAUCUGAUCAUGAAGUUUACAACAAACUGGUGAAGAAAAUGGAGCAGCUAAAGAUCUCCUUCAAUGUGAAUGUGGAGACCAAAACCGAGCUACAACGGACCAUUUUAGUGAAGGUACCAGAAACACGAGUCCAGAUGAAGAGAUGCGCUCUUGUCUCCAGAAGAGAGAUGGGCUUCCAUAUGACCAUGGAGGCUAAAGCUGUGGUUCUCUGGUCACUCAUUGGUCCCAUAGAGGUGGUGAUGGAGCAGCAGGACCGGGUCUAGCAGCUCCAGGCCCGGGUCUACCAGCUCCAGGCCCGGGUCUACCAGCUCCAGGCCCGGGUCUAGCAGCUCCAGGCCCAGGUUUCCAGCUCCAGGCCCGGGUCUAGCACCUCCAGGACCAGGUCUACCAGCUCCAGGCCCGGGUUUCCAG